GAUGAAGAACGUAGCGAAAUGCGAUAAGUAAUGUGAAUUGCAGAAUUCAGUGAGUCAUCGAAUCUUUGAACGCACAUUGCGCCCUCUGGUAUUCCGGAGGGCAUGCCUGUUCGAGCGUCAUUAUCACCCCUCAAGCCCGGCUUGUUGUUGGAUGCAGCGCUUAUCCCGCUCCUCCCAAAGAUAAUGACGGCGUCUGCGACGACUCCUGUACACUGAGCUUUCGGGCACGUACACGGCUAGAAGUCCAGACCCGGUCGCCGUCCCCCCCCGCGGGGGACACCCAUUACCACAAGGUUGACCUCGGAUCAGGUAGGAAUACCCGCUGAACUUAAGCAUAUCAAUAAGCGGAGGA
rnacentral:misc_RNA from 1 species